UAAAAGACGUUGGCACUAAAACUAGACACUAAAGUUGGAACUAGAUAAAUAUAUGGAUAUAUAUAUAUAUAGAUAUAUUAUAUACUAGAUUUUGAGGUAUUAUUUAAUGUGUUGUCAUCUCGAAGUAAAAAGAGAAAAGCAACUAUGGGUUUCCAAAAAAAAUAAAGAAAAUAUAUAUUUAGUACUUUAGAUAAUAUAAUAAGCUUAGUCUGUCCAAAAAAAAAAACUAAUAAGUUUAUUAGUUUAAAUUUUAUUAAAUUAAUAUAGGCCCAAAGGAAAUUUUUUUUUUUUUUAUUGGAACUAAAUGUAGUGCAAAUGCACCUCUUGCACCGGGUGAUCAACGGCCAUUCCAUGAUAAAUACGUCCAUGAUCACUACCUUUGGAUAUCACCGACCCACACAUUUUUGUAUCUUUCGUAUAUAGAGAUUGAAACAUUAUUAUAUAGUCUUUCUCAACUUAAACAUCUCCUAUUGGACUUUGU
rnacentral:lncRNA from 1 species